CCUAUGGUCGCUGGCAACAGUGGGAUGUAACCUUGUGCUGGUGGCUGCAUUUGGGGGAGGGAUUGGGCUUCCCUGGUGGUUCGGUGGUAAAGAAUCCACCUGCCAAUGCAGAAGACACUGGCUCCAUUCCUAGGUCCAAGACGAUCCCCUCGAGGAGGAAAUGGCAACCCACUUUCUAUUCUUGCCUGGGAAAUCCCAUGGAGAGAGGAGCCUGGCGGGCUACAGUCCAUGGAGUCACAAGGAGUUGGACAAGGCUGUGCAACUGAACGGGAUCUUAGAGGGAACAAUGGUGCAAACAACACAAGUAGAGCCCCUCACGUGCACAUCCGGAAAUGUUUCAGCAAACAUACAAAACUCCUCCUCCGUCCUGUCAUGUAAGUGGCCCCAAGGUGCAUCACAGAACCGCCGCUCCCCAUUUCUCCUCAAGGUGCGUCCGCCCACUCCACCCGCCCCGGCUCCGCGGAGAUGCAGGAAGGGGACAGUGGCCGCCAUGCGGUGGCCGGGGGCCCAGGCCAGGGCAGGCCGGUUCCAGCUCUCGGAGGCUCCUCCUUGGCACAGCCUGGAAGAGAGACAUGAUGGAUGCUUCGACUGCUGCCUCCCCGUGAGGACACGUUGCUGACUCCGCUGCUUAUUAACUCUGGCCCGGCUGCAAUCUGGUGCAAAGGACACGGGGACUUGCUGACCCCUCCAAGGUGACCACGAUGGUCUUGGAACGGGUGCGAUGCUCUCAGCUAACUUGCCAGCUGCUCCCAAGUUUCUGCUCCUCCUCUACCUUUCAGGCCGAGUUAGACUCUGGGAAGUUGUGGUUUUGCAAACCCGGAGUUCUUCAGGCCAGGAGCACACAGGACUGGGCAACAUGGCUGCCCCAGUGAGACGGCUGACUCCGUAAGGACCGCAUUAAGGAAGGAGGGGACAGGGCGGAGACCAGGCUUUCUCACUCUGCAGCCACAGCUGCCGUCGUUUUUCAAAAUUCCUUCUGCUAUUUUUUCCCCCAAAUCUACAGCACAGACGUGGUGCCUCCUGAGCACCUCCAACACAGGUUGGAGCCCCGCCAGUGACCCACUGAGUGACCAGCUGAGUGAGUGCAGCGUUUGCACAGGGCUUGCUCUGGGUUGCUGGGAGACAGGCAGCCUGUCCUUCCCCUUCCCCAGUCCUGCGGAGGAGUGGAGACCCUGCCUCUCUCGGUAGCAGCCCGGGCUGGAGGCUGCCUGCUUGUGGAGUGGACAGGACUGGAGACUCCCAGACUUGUCAAGGAUGGCCCCUUUGAUGAAUUACAAGUCAAGGAUAAUAAGUCCGCUGUAACUUUGACUUUGUCUAUGUAAGAUAUAUUCAAUCAGCCAUUUGGUACACUUUCUGUUAUAUGUUGGUUUCUUGGUUUUUUU
rnacentral:lncRNA from 1 species